UGAUUUCCACUGGGGAAGAAUUCCUGGUUGGAGAUCCCUUCCUUGUGGAGUCUUUACAGCAAGCCUAGGUCUUCAGAGGCAGGUCAUUCGCUUGCUCUCCCCAUUCAUCACCUUCUCAGUAGAAGGAGAGAUGCUGACCCAGCGUGCUCCUCCGUGUGAGGUGCUGCUCUGGGGCUCUGAUGCUGAGGACAUGAAGGAGAGGAUGAUGUUACAUGAGUUUAUCUCCAUGCUAUUACCAAGGACUGGGUUAAAAGGUGCAAACACAAGACAGCUUUGAGGUCAGAAAACAAGAGGAAAGGUCCAGCAUCAGGCUCUGGCUCUGCAUGAUGCUCCGGUCGCUGGGCUGGGCAUAGAGGAUGACCAUCUCCUUCUCGUUCUUCAUCAGGUGCAGUGUAGGAAAGAGCAGAACCUGCCAGAUGAAGAUAUGCAAACAAGAUGGAGGAAGGAUGUUAUGACCACGGUCACCUCUACCCACCUUUGAGGAUGGUGAUGUCUAUGGUUGGCUGCACUUUGGGUACCGAGGUAGCAGGAUCACUGCUCAUCCUUGUGUACCGUGAGGAGAUGAUGGAGAUGGGCUGCUCUGAGGGCCCGCAGCAUCGCACACAUGACAGGCGUCGUGUCUCCCGUCUUGGCAGGUCCUGCUCCGCCAUGGAGCUGGGGAUGGACACCAGGAGCAGCAGCAGGAGCACGGCGCUCAUCUUCAUCCAAGCCAGCUGGAGCAGGCAAAGAACAAACAAUUAACAUGAUGAUUCGGAUCAGAGCCACUGAUGGGCCAUCUGCUAAUGUUGCCGCAAGGUGCUUUUCUGAUUAAUUAUUAGCUUAUCUUGUAGUGGCACUAGGAGACUCCAGGUAGGAAGGGUUCCCCACAGUGUACUGUUUACAAGCAAUGGAGAAGGCAAUCCUCAUCCUGCAUUACUUAUGGUUGAAAUGUCUUUCAAGAGACAACACAUAAAAGCAGGAAAGAAAAAGCACGUUUU